rnacentral:rRNA from 1 species
UACGUAGGGGGCAAGCGUUAUCCGGAUUCAUUGGGCGUAAAGCGCGCGUAGGCGGCUUGCUAAGUCAGGUGUGAAAACCGGGGGCUCAACCCGCGGCCUGCACCUGAAACUGGCAGGCUUGAGUCUGGUAGAGGGAAAUGGAAUUCCGAGUGUAGCGGUGAAAUGCGCAGAUAUUCGGAAGAACACCAGUGGCGAAGGCGGUUUCCUGGGCCACGACUGACGCUGAGGCGCGAAAGCUAGGGGAGCGAACAGGAUUAGAUACCCUGGUAGUCCUAGCCGUAAACGAUGGGCACUAGGUGUGGGGGGUUAUCAACUCCCUCCGUGCCGCAGCUAACGCAUUAAGUGCCCCGCCUGGGGAGUACGGCCGCAAGGCUAAA